rnacentral:rRNA from 1 species
AGCGAACGCUGGCGGCAGGCUUAACACAUGCAAGUCGAGCGGGCAUCCUUGUGGUGUCAGCGGCAGACGGGUGAGUAACGCGUGGGAACGUGCCCUUCGGUUCGGAAUAACUCAGGGAAACUUGAGCUAAUACCGGUUACGUGCGAGAGCAGAAAGGUUUAUCUGCCGAAGGAUGGGCCCGCGUCUGAUUAGCUAGUUGGUGAGGUUAUGUCUCACCAAGGCGACGUUCAGUAGCUGGUCUGAGAGGAUGAUCAGCCACACUGGGACUGAGACACGGCCCAGACUCCUACAGGAGGCAGCAGUGGGGAAUAUAGGACUAUGGGGGCAACCCUGAUCCAGCCAGGCCGCGUGAGUGAUGACGGCCUUAGGGUUGUAAAGCUCUUUUCUUCGGGACGAUAAUGACGGUACCGGAGGAAUAAGCCCCGGCUAACUUCGUG